rnacentral:rRNA from 1 species
ACUCAAAUGAAUUGACGGGGGCCCGCACAAGCGGAGGAGCAUGUGGUUUAAUUCGAUGAUACGCGAGGAACCUUACCAGGGCUUGAAAGACAGGAGACCGUAGCGGAAACGUUACUUUUCUUCGGAACUGCUGUCUAGGUGCUGCAUGGCUGUCGUCAGCUCGUGCCGUGAGGUGUCGGGUUAAGUCCCAUAACGAGCGCAACCCCUAUCACUAGUUGCCAACAGGUAAUGCUGGGGACUCUAGUGAAACUGCCCGCGCAAGCGGUGAGGAAGGCGGGGAUGACGUCAAGUCAGCACGGCCCUUACGUCCUGGGCUACACACGUGCUACAAUGGUAGGUACAGAGGGCAGCUACACCGCGAGGUGAUGCAAAUCUCCAAAACCUAUCUCAGUUCGGAUCGAAGUCUGCAACUCGACUUCGUGAAGCUGGAUUCGCUAGUAAUCGCAUAUCAGCAAUGAUGCGGUGAAUACGUUCCCGGGCCUUGUACACACCGCCCGU